rnacentral:rRNA from 1 species
AAGUAGCAAUACUUAGUGGCAAACGGGUGAGUAAUAUGUGGGAAUCUACCUAACGGUCUGGAAUAACAUGAGGAAACUUGUGCUAAUACCGGAUAAGCCUUUACAGGGAAAGCUUUAUGCUCCGAUAGAUGAGCCCACACUUGAUUAGUUAGUUGGUGAGGUAAUAGCUCACCAAGACAAUGAUCAAUAGCUGAUUUGAGAGGAUGAUCAGCCACAUUGGGACUGAGACACGGCCCAAACUCCUACGGGAGGCAGCAGUGGGGAAUUUUGCACAAUGGGGGAAACCCUGAUGCAGCGAUGCCGCGUGAGUGAAGAAGGCCCUUGGGUUGUAAAGCUCUUUCGUCGGGGAAGAAAAUGACUGUACCCGAAUAAGAAGGUCCGGCUAACUUCGUGCCAGCAGCCGCGGUAAUACGAAGGGACCUAGCGUAGUUCGGAAUUACUGGGCUUAAAGAGUUCGUAGGUGGUUAAAAAAGUUGGUGGUGAAAUCCCAGAGCUUAACUCUGGAACUGCCAUCAAAACUUUUUAGCUAGAGUAUGAUAGAGGAAAGUAGAAUUUCUAGUGUAGAGGUGAAAUUCGUAGAUAUUAGAAAGAAUACCAAUUGCGAAGGCAGCUUUCUGGAUCAUUACUGACACUGAGGAACGAAAGCAUGGGUAGCGAAGAGGAUUAGAUACCCUCGUAGUCCAUGCCGUAAACGAUGUGUGCUAGACGUUGGAAAUUUAUUUUCAGUGUCGCAGCGAAAGCGAUAAACACACCGCCUGGGGAGUACGAUCGCAAGGUUAAAACUCAAAUGAAUUGACGGGGA